CAUGUAGGCGGAUUAAUAAGUUUGAAGUGAAAUCCUAUAGCUUAACUAUAGAACUGCUUUGAAAACUGUUAAUCUAGAAUGUGGGAGAGGUAGAUGGAAUUUCUGGUGUAGGGGUAAAAUCCGUAGAGACCAGAAGGAAUACCGAUUGCGAAGGCGAUCUACUGGAACAUUAUUGACGCUGAGAUGCGAAAGCGUGGGGAGCAAACA
rnacentral:rRNA from 1 species